GACGAACGCUGGCGGCGUGCUUAACACAUGCAAGUCGAACGGAAAGGCCCUGCUUUUGUGGGGUGCUCGAGUGGCGAACGGGUGAGUAACACGUGAGUAACCUGCCCUUGACUUUGGGAUAACUUCAGGAAACUGGGGCUAAUACCGGAUAGGAGCUCCUGCUGCAUGGUGGGGGUUGGAAAGUUUCGGCGGUUGGGGAUGGACUCGCGGCUUAUCAGCUUGUUGGUGGGGUAGUGGCUUACCAAGGCUUUGCCGGGUAGCCGGCCUGGGAGGGUGACCGGCCACAUUGGUCCUGAGAUACGGCCCAGACUGCAACGGGAGGCAGCAGUGGGGAAUAUGGCACAAUGGGCGGAAGUCUGAUGCAGCAACGCCGCGGUCGGGAUGACGGCCUUCGGGUUGUAAACCGCAUUCGCCUGUGACGAAGCGGGAGUGACGGUAAUGGGUAAAGAAGCACCGGCUAACUACGUG
rnacentral:rRNA from 1 species